CACCACUCAAGCCUGGCUUGGUAUUGGGCCCCGCGGCUCGCCGCGCGCCCCAACGUCUCCGGCGGGGCCCCCCGCCUCGAAGCGUCGUGACAUCUGUUUUCGCUCGCGAGCGCAGGAGGGCCUUCCACGCCGUCAAAACGCCCCCAUCAAAA
rnacentral:misc_RNA from 1 species